GGGGCUGUGGCGCAGUGGUAGCGCGUUCGCUUUGCAUGCGAAAGGCCUAGGGUUCGAACCCCUACUGCUCCA
rfam:Batrachochytrium dendrobatidis JAM81 unplaced genomic scaffold BATDEscaffold_7, whole genome shotgun sequence.